rnacentral:rRNA from 1 species
UACGGAGGGUGCGAGCGUUGUCCGGAAUCAUUGGGCGUAAAGGGCGCGUAGGUGGCCCGGUCAGUUCGUGGUGAAAGCGCGGGGCUCAACCCUGCGUCGGCCAUGAAUACUGCCGCGGCUGGAGCACUGUAGAGGCAGGCGGAAUUCCGGGGUGUAGCGGUGGAAUGCGUAGAGAUCCGGAAGAACACCGGUGGCGAAGGCGGCCUGCUGGGCGAGUUGCUGGACACUGAGGCGCGACAGCGUGGGAGCA